rnacentral:tRNA from 1 species
AAAAAGUCAGUUGAACCACAACAUUAACUUGUCACGUUAAAAUUAUUAAUCAUUUUAAUACAAUUUA